rnacentral:misc_RNA from 1 species
ACGAAUCCUGCACAGCAGAACCACUCGCGAACAAGUUCAUAAACUCAGGGUAAAGGUCGUAGCGGGGGACACCUUGCUACUGACCGGAGCCUAACGGUGCCCUGGCUUCUCGCCAUGGUGCUGAACAAACCCCCGGCGCGAGAAGCGCCAAGGAAUACUUUAACAAGGGCUUGAACCGUCCUCUCCCGCUCGCGGGGCUUGGGGGAUCGGAGACGGCUUCUUUCUAAACCACAACGACUCUCGGCAACGGAUAUCUCGGCUCUCGCAUCGAUGAAGAACGCAGCGAAAUGCGAUACUUGGUGUGAAUUGCAGAAUCCCGUGAACCAUCGAGUCUUUGAACGCAAGUUGCGCCUGAGGCCAUUAGGCUAAAGGCACGUCUGCCUGGGCGUCACGCAUCGCGUCACCCCAUCCCAAAAUCUUGCGGAUGAGGUGGAUUGUGACCUCCUGUGCCUUCGGUUGCAGUUGGUCGAAAUUCGAGUCCGGAGCUUAGGACUUCACGACAAGUGGUGGUUGGAUAACAACUCGCGUCAUGCCGUGUGCCGAACCUCCGUGCCUCUCAAGACCCUGAGGCGCUUGUUAACCGACUCUGCGGGUCGGGAAACUCGUGCUACGA